GAGACAUCCUCAACUUCCUCUAGCUGCAGCCACUAGCUGAGUUUCUUAUGUGGGGCUCAGUGGAGCUGGUCACCGGGGUGUUGGUGGCAGCGCUGAGGGGCCCCUCACUGCCCCAUCAUGGCACCUGCUCUCACCGUCCUCUUCCUCAGCUGCUGCUGGCUGGCUGGGCGGAGUGAGGUCUCGGGAGAGGGAACCGACCCAGCUGGGUCCCGGCAGCCGGAUCCCCCCACGAUGGAG